UCGAGGAUCUUCGGCAAUGGGCGCAAGCCUGACCGAGCGACGCCGCGUGGAGGAUGAAGGCCUUCGGGUUGUAAACUCCUGUCGAGGGGGAGGAAAGCCCCGCAAGGGGUCUGACCUAUCUCUGGAGGAAGCACGGGCUAAGUUCGUGCCAGCAGCCGCGGUAAGACGAACCGUGCGAACGUUGUUCGGAAUCACUGGGCUUAAAGGGCGCGUAGGCGGCCACGAACGUCCGGGGUGAAAUCUUUCGGCCCAACCGGAAAAGGGCCCCGGAUACGGCGUGACUGGAGGGGGAUAGGGGCGGACGGAACUUCCGGUGGAGCGGUGAAAUGCGUUGAUAUCGGAAGGAACGCCGGUGGCGAAAGCGGUCCGCUGGGUCCCAUCUGACGCUGAGGCGCGAAAGCCAGGGGAGCGAACGGGAUUAGAUACCCCCGUAGUCC
rnacentral:rRNA from 1 species